UACGGGGGGGGCAAGCGUUGUUCGGAAUUACUGGGCGUAAAGCGCACGUAGGCGGCUUUCUAAGUCGGGGGUGAAAUCCUGGAGCUCAACUCCAGAACUGCCUUCGAUACUGGAGAGCUUGAGUCCGGGAGAGGUGAGUGGAACUGCGAGUGUAGAGGUGAAAUUCGUAGAUAUUCGCAAGAACACCAGUGGCGAAGGCGGCUCACUGGCCCGGUACUGACGCUGAGGUGCGAAAGCGUGGGGAGCAAACAGG
rnacentral:rRNA from 1 species